GAGGUAUUUGGUUCGUCGUGAUCAUCAAUGUCGGUUGCUUCGGCUGCUCAAGAUAUCAAUCAUCAGUUAAAACUAAUGAGAAAUUAUGCAUGUGGUUGCUAUAAGAGUUGUAAUCUUACCCUAAUUUGGUUAUUUGUAAAAUUAGGUAUUUUUGAUUGGCAGUAGUGUUAAUUGUUGUUUUAAAAUAUAAUGAGAGUCUGG
rnacentral:misc_RNA from 1 species